rnacentral:lncRNA from 1 species
GCGCUGCUCUUUAUCGUGUAUACCAGUCACUCUUGAUACACUCGACACUUAUAAUGCCAUAUUGUCAUGGCUCUCUCAUAUGGACAUUUAAAAAGCCCAAGACACAAAAUGACGCUGCUCAGUCUCUAGUUGUUAUUGUUGGUUUUUGUUGAGGUUUUUUGGUGUGGUUUUUUUUUUUUUGUUGUUUUUUGUUUCGGGUUCCUUCGCAUAUCUUCCUCCUUUUUCUUUACACACUACCUCCCAAGUGUCUAUGCAAUAUACUUAAUAUUUAGAUAUAAGAUCUUCUCUUCUUUAAGAAAAAAAACCGCUUUUUAAGAAAAACAAAAUUCCAUUCUAUUCCAGGGAUCAAAUGAUUGGUCGCUAUAUUAUCGUUGAUUAUUAACGAGGGGUGGGCGAGAUCCACGAAUCCUACUUACCUCUCCCUUACUCCCAGUCUAAGAUCGGUCAAAUAAACUUGUCCAUCCUAUCCCUAUGUAGUACUUCGCCCUUCCCACGCUUCUCCUCUUCCCCUGGUUUCCGAUUAUUAUUCUUGCAGAUUUCCUUAUCCCUAUUCAUCAUCUCAUUAACAGUCAUAUCGCAUCAUCUUUUUAUACUACUUUGACAUAAUGCCGACAACUAUUUCAUCA